rnacentral:rRNA from 1 species
GACGAACGCUGGCGGCGUGCUUAAUACAUGCAAGUCGAACGGAAAGGCCCGGCUCUUGCGCGUCGCACGAUUGGCGAACACGUGUGUAACACGUGAGUAACCUGCCCCUGUCUGUCUGGUAACAUCUCGAAACUCGGGCUAUAACCCCGUAUGAUCUCUUGAACCUCGUGGUUCAAUAGUGAAAUUCGGUUGUUGGGGCUCGUAUCGCGGCUUACCCGCUUGGUGGUGGGGUAGUGGAUUACCAAGGCUAUGACGGGUACGCGGCCUGAGAGGGUGACCGGCGACCUUGGGACUGCGAUACGGCCCAGACGCCUACGGGACGCAGCAGUGGGGAAUAUUGCACAAUGGGCGGAAGCCUGAUGCAGCAACGCCGCGUGCGGGAUGACGGCCUUCGGGUUGUAAACCGCUUUCGCCUGUGACGAAGCGUGAGUGACGGUAAUGGGUAAAGAAGCACCGGCUAACUACGUG